rnacentral:rRNA from 1 species
GUUGACCUCGGAUCAGGUAGGGAUACCCGCUGAACUUAAGCAUAUCAAUAAGCGGAGGAAAAGAAACCAACAGGGAUUGCCCCAGUAACGGCGAGUGAAGCGGCAGGAGCUCAAAUUUGAAAUCUGACCUCCUCCGGGGGUCCGAGUUGUAAUUUGCAGAGGAUGCUUCGGGUGCGGCCCCCGUCUAAGUUCCUUGGAACAGGACGUCAGAGAGGGUGAGAAUCCCGUCUUGGGCGGGCGCCCGCGCCCGUGAGUCCC